AUUGAACGCUGGCGGCAUGCCUUACACAUGCAAGUCGAACGGCAGCGGGGGAGAAGCUUGCUUUUCCUGCCGGCGAGUGGCGAACGGGUGAGUAAUACAUCGGAACGUGCCCUGUAGUGGGGGAUAACUAGUCGAAAGAUUAGCUAAUACCGCAUACGACCUGAGGGUGAAAGUGGGGGACCGCAAGGCCUCAUGCUAUAGGAGCGGCCGAUGUAUGAUUAGCUGGUUGGUGGGGUAAAGGCCUAACAAGGCGACGAUAAGUAGCUGGUCUGAGCGGACGAUCAGCCACACUGGGACUGAGACACGGCCCAGACUACUACGGGAGGCAGCAGUGGGGAAUUUUGGACAAUGGGCGAAAGCCUGAUCCAGCAAUGCCGCGUGUGUGAAGAAGGCCUUCGGGUUGUAAAGCACUUUUGUCCGGAAAGAAAUGGCUCUGGUUAAUACCUGGGGUCGAUGACGGUACCGGAAGAAUAAGGACCGGCUAACUACGUGCCAGCCGCCGCGGUAA
rnacentral:rRNA from 1 species